rnacentral:lncRNA from 10 species
AAAAUAAAUACAUACAGAGGAAACCGGUUUGAAGAUGACUCCAAGGCAGGCCAGUACCUAAAACGUGCAAUUGGCAUAUGCCAUAAAGGAAUCACUUUAUGACUGAAUGUCCUGGGAAAGAUGAGUAAGGAUCCCUGCCAUUGAUUUCCAUCAGACUGCUGUGAAACCUUGCAAAGGAACUCACUAGUGAGUACUCUUGAGAAGUAAAAGAGAACAAUGAUUAAGGCCACAGGGUCUGGAGUCUGAUCUAAUUUUCAGGACUGACACCAUCUUCUAACUUCAUAACCUCUGGAGAAGAAAACCUUAGCAGAUGGAUUAGGGUAAAGGAAAUGGUACAUAAUGAAUCACAUUUGAAACCCCAGCAUGCAGAUCAAUAUGUAAGUAUAUAUAGUCCUCCUCCUCGUCGUCUGCGUUCAGUGAAUUUGAGUGUUUCAGAGACUCAAGAGGCCAGACUCUUGCUUUGUGCUGAGAAAGCUUCUCUCUGCAGCUGUGCCUCUCUUCAGAAUGACUUUUUUCCCUGCUGCCAUUAUGCCAGGAAUGCACAAGAACCUCCCAGCUUAAGUCUUCUGAGCGCUUAUAGAUAGCAAGGCCAGAAUUCUCAUCUUCUGGAACUCUAGGGAAAAUUUCCAGUGAAGCAUUAUUUCCCCCUUUUCAUAGAUACGACAGUGGAUGAAUUAAAGUGACUUGGCCAAAGUCACAGAACAUGUCAGCUGAAAGCUAAACUCCAAAAUGGAAAUUGCUCAUUCAACUAAAUUGAAUUACACCAAAGCAUACUGUUAAGUUUGUUUUCUCCUAAAGGUUUACAGCACACAAUCACUGCUUUUUUUCCCCCCAGCAACCUCAAGGAAACAAGCUAUAAACGUUCCUUUAUAAAAUAGCAUGGAAGGUCAAAUCUUCAGGCAUCUCUGCCCCUAUGUUCCUAGCUUCCUGUUAUGUGGCUAGAAUUUUGGAAUCCUGGAUCUAACACCAGACAAGAUUGUCA